rnacentral:rRNA from 1 species
AACGAACGCUGGCGGCAUGCCUAACACAUGCAAGUCGAACGAGACCUUCGGGUCUAGUGGCGCACGGGUGCGUAACGCGUGGGAACCUGCCCUUAGGUUCGGCAUAACUCCCCGAAAGGGGUGCUAAUACCGGAUCAUGUCUUCGGACCAAAGAUUUAUCGCCUUUGGAUGGGCCCGCGUUGGAUUAGCUAGUUGGUAGGGUAAAAGCCUACCAAGGCGACGAUCCAUAGCUGGUCUGAGAGGAUGAUCAGCCACACUGGGACUGAGACACGGCCCAGACUCCUACGGGAGGCAGCAGUGGGGAAUAUUGGACAAUGGGCGAAAGCCUGAUCCAGCAAUGCCGCGUGAGUGAUGAAGGCAUUAGGGUUGUAAAGCUCUUUUACCCGGGAUGAUAAUGACAGUACCGGGAGAAUAAGCUCCGGCUAACUCCGUG